rnacentral:rRNA from 1 species
AACGAACGCUGGCGGCAUGCCUAACACAUGCAAGUCGAACGAAGCCUUCGGGCUUAGUGGCGCACGGGUGCGUAACGCGUGGGAAUCUGCCCUUGGGUUCGGAAUAACAGUUAGAAAUGACUGCUAAUACCGAAUGAUGUCUUCGGACCAAAGAUUUAUCGCCCAAGGAUGAGCCCGCGUCGGAUUAGCUAGUUGGUGAGGUAAAGGCUCACCAAGGCGACGAUCCGUAGCUGGUCUGAGAGGAUGAUCAGCCACACUGGGACUGAGACACGGCCCAGACUCCUACGGGAGGCAGCAGUGGGGAAUAUUGGACAAUGGGCGAAAGCCUGAUCCAGCAAUGCCGCGUGAGUGAUGAAGGCCCUAGGGUUGUAAAGCUCUUUUACCAGGGAUGAUAAUGACAGUACCUGGAGAAUAAGCUCCGGCUAACUCCGUGCCAGCAGCCGCGGU